ACUCAAUCAUCAUCAAAAAUAGAACAUAAAGCUCCCUGCAACUGAAACACAACAUCUUCAUCUAUCAUCUUCAACCAUCACAUCACGAAAACCACACAUAACGACUCAGAAACACAACAACAACAACAUUUAACAACGGCAACGGAACUGCAUGCAUUGUCAACAACUGAAGCUUCCCUCCGAUCAUCCACGUCCAAACACCACAGAGCACGCGCAAAAUACGACAGAGGAUGUGAGAUCAUUUUUGUUU
rnacentral:lncRNA from 1 species